rnacentral:rRNA from 1 species
UACGUAGGUGGCAAGCGUUGUCCGGAUUUACUGGGCGUAAAGAGUGCGCAGGCGGUCGUUCAAGUCGCGUGUGAAAGCCCCCGGCUCAACUGGGGAGGGUCACGCGAUACUGGUCGACUCGAAGGCAGGAGAGGGUAGUGGAAUUCCCGGUGUAGUGGUGAAAUGCGUAGAUAUCGGGAGGAACACCAGUGGCGAAGGCGACUACCUGGCCUGUUCUUGACGCUGAGGCGCGAAAGCUAGGGGAGCAAACGGG